AGCAGAGUUGGAACCUGAGGCCUCCCCAGGCCGGAGGUCCGCGCCCGGCAAAAGGCAAGCUGCAUCUUCCAUCCCAGCCCCAUCCUCCUCGCCCUGCUGUUGCUGCAGCUCGUCCGAUUUGCACCUCUUCAUGGUAUUAACGCUUUCAUUCAGUGCUGUCAUGAAAAGAAAUCAACUUCUUUUGGAGUAGGAGGAGUAAACUAUGCAAAUAACCAUCGGAAACCAUCGAAGAGAUUGGCUGGAGUGUUGGUGAUGUCACAAUCCCACCACCUAAGCAUACAGUGCUUAUUGGCUUUUUAAAGAGGAAGGGAGCACUGGGAAGGUUCUACAUCACUCCACAAUUGCUGAAAGCUCCGAGCUUAAACUAAAUUUCACCUUUUUUCCCCCUGGCUUUCUUAAAAUGUGCCCAGAGCCUUUUUUACAUGUUAUUGCAUUUCUCACAUUAUUUAGUUAUUAUUUAGUCGUAUUCUCCAGGUCACUGUAACCAUUUAGAACAAUUCCUUUACAACCUAUCAAAUAAAUCUCUCAUGGUUUAA